GACGAACGCUGGCGGCGUGCUUAACACAUGCAAGUCGAACGAAGUGGCGAACGGGUGAGUAACGCGUAAUCAACCUGCCCUUCAGAGGGGGACAACAGUUGGAAACGACUGCUAAUACCGCAUACGGAAGGAGGGGAUUGCGUCGGAUUAGCUAGUUGGCGGGGUAACGGCCCACCAAGGCGAUGAGCAGUAGCCGGUCUGAGAGGCUGGACGGCCACAUUGGGACUGAGACACGGCCCAGACUCCUACGGGAGGCAGCAGUGGGAAAUCUUCCGCAAUGGACGAAAGGCUGACGGAGCAACGCCGCGUGAGUGAUGACGGCCUUCGGGUUUUAAAGCUCUGUUAAUCGGGACGCGGUACCGGAAUAGAAAGCCACGGCUAACUACGUGCCAGCAGCCGCGGUAAUAC
rnacentral:rRNA from 1 species